GAAUCCAUAAAAUAUAUCAACAACGAGAAGGUUUCCACUAUACACAGCUCGAGGGCUAGAGAGAAAACUAGAGUGAGAAAAAUGAUCUACAGGAAGUGGAGUCUGCUAACCGGCCCGACCUCGAUCAUCGCCGGAGUAAUCGGCACUGUGGUGGUUGCCGAUCUCCUCUUCGUUGAUAACGUAAGAUUUUUCUUUCUCUUAGGGUUUCGAUAUUUGAAUCGUAAUGAUAUGUAUUUGCCCAUUGCUCGUUAAAAAUGGACUGAAUUUAUGUGCUCCUGUAUAUUCAUCUAAUUAAAUCAUUUAUUUUUCUGUUCUGAAUGAACAUUUUUGGAUCCGAAGAGAUUAAUCGAGUAAUUUAUCUUCGUGUAUGAUUUAUCUGCUGGAUUUGUAGCUGAUCGAAUUUUUACUGGAUGUGCCAAUGAUGAAUCUUUAACGUGGUGACUCUUUUAGGCCUAAAUAUACAGAACGAUUUUGGUUUAUCAAUAUAUUGGAAUUGGCCUUGUAGUAAAGUGUGAGCAAUUUUUCGAGUUGAUUUUUAGGAAACAUGUAGCUAGUGUGCUGAAAUGGAGAGAUGAUUAUAUACUUGUAUUAGGUGUUUCUUUUUAUUUAUAAACGUUUCAUCAACUGCAUCCCUUUUUCCAUUUUAGUUUCGGAGUAUUGUGUAGAAUGUUGUGUUCAAUAAAUUUGUGGAGUUUUUGAAGAUUUGCACUUGUUUUCAACACCCAAAUCUAGAAAUUCUAAUAUAUAUAGUUUGAGUUGAUUCGUUGCGCUCGCUGCUACCUGAUUUCCGAACCUACUGUAGGAAGUUCGAUUGGUUCUUUGGGGGGGGGGGGGAGGUGAGGAUUAUUUUCAAGUAGCUCUCCACCUUUUGAGAUUAUUGAUGAGCAUCUACAUCUGUUGAAUUACUUGAUUGUCUUUUGAUUGUAAUAUAUGUGAAGAAUAAUUGGUUCAAUCUUUGAAAGGUUCAAUGCAAGAUCAGUGAUGAGAAGGGGAACAUUUCAACUAAUUUUAAGUUGAUGCAUGACCUGUACUCUAGGUUGUGAACUUUUUAAUCGUAAAACACUGGCACAAACACAUGCUACUCUGAUACUAUUUGCUGUAGUGUAAUCAGUUUCUAUCGAAGUUGAGAAAUGGCUUUCUUAGACAAUGUCACAAGAACAUCUUUCACUUUCUAGUUGACUGUGUUCUAGUUUGGUUAAUGUUAUCUUCGUUCAACGUAUUCUUUUGUAAACUGAGGUCCCUUCAUCUUCCCUUACUAGAAAUCUGGUUAAGUAGUGAUUCUUUAUAGCUUACAGUUCUCCCAUGGUUAUGCAUUGAUAUUGUGCCCCUGACUUCAUCGAGCUCUUUACUCACUGAACAACUCUUGAUAUUUUACGAAUGAUCUGGCAUCAGUUUUAUGCUCCAUCUCGUCAUGCAGGGUUGGUUGCGCAAGGGAGAUGAAAAAAAGCAAGAACCAGCAACUUCAUCCAAGUAGAAGCAGAUAGGAUGCAUUGUCUUCUUCUCUUUUGUCAAAAACGUGUUGUUGAAUAAAUUUAUGUUGUUCGUUGUAAAACUCAGUUUUUGUGUUUAAAUCUUUUGAGUUUUCAUCAACAGCCUCAGUUCCAAAAAUGGGAAAUAUGUGAGGUUAUCUGGAUAGCAAGAAAAUCAAGAAGUUGAGGUAAAUUUUUUUUGAGACGAAGUUGAGGUAAUUAGUAAUUCUAUUUUCAUUUAGUUUUCAUAUACAAAUGUUAUACUCCCAUCUAAAGGAAGGGGAUCAAAUAUGAUCUACUUCCUAUAUCUGUUUUCCAAAUGAUUUAUUUGCCUCUUGAGUUGAAAAUAUAAAUUAUUUAUAUAUCGUGCAAUGCACAAUAGCAAAACUAGCACGCAAGUAAUUACAAAACUGACUUAUUGCAAAAAUUAUCUUUGGUUUCUAAGCAGCAUUUCCAUGAUCAAAUCAUUCCAAGAAUCUAUAGGCCCAGGUAAGCACCAAUGCAAACAGUCAUUCUGAAUCUUUGCAUCCUUGUCCUUCCCCUGGUAUGGUUGGAACUGCCUGUACACGCCCGGAUGCCCAUCCGGCCUGAGGAGCGAAAGCAUGGUAGUGUCGAGCAGCUUCAAACUGCCUGCCCCGUUUCUUGAAACUGCCCACUCGAACUCCUCAAGCUCAACAUUUCUCAUCAUCUCAUCUACGUCUCUCGUUUCAACCUCGCCUGCUUUGAAUGGCUCCGUCCUGUUGCAGUAACCCCCGCUGUCCCAUUCCCCGUUCUCAAAGUGAUCCGGAGUCAUGGUUCGGAAGAGGAUAUACGGCUUGUGCUUCGCCUCGGAUACGAAUUUGAGCGUGGAGUUGAGUGCUUUUCUAUAAGCAUGCUCGAACCCUACUUCUGUUAUGUUGCUACCAUGGCAGCCGUGGCAGCCCAAAAUGGUGUUGUUCUCGUAGUAGAUUGCAUACUUGAGAAACCAUUGCCCUCCACCAAUCACCACGUGGUCGAAAUCCUCGUACUGAUCAGUCCAGAUGGUGUCGGGCUCGUCUAUAUGUAGCUGGAUUAUGCCGGAGGAGACACCAUCGUCGUUCUCAAAAGUGGAGGCUUUCGUUAGGAAUGGGGCCCAUACGACGAAGACCGUGAAGUUGUGAGAGGGAAACGACCAUCUCCGGUUCUUGUAAGGCUCGUCGUGGUAGAUGUCAACGGCUUCUUCGACCUAUAACGUCAAGUUAGAUCGUUCAUAAAUAAAUGACAGCAAAAUGAAAUGAAAGAUGAUGUUUGACUAAGUUUAUAAGCUCUUUAAAACAACUUAUAAAUUGUUUAGGAGUUUUUAAUUUUUUUCAAAAUAUUUGGCAAAAUAUGUUUUUAAACAAUUUACAAGCUCUCCAAAAAAUAAGUCUUCUACCCUAAUUUCUUUUUUCAUAAUCUUAUACAGUUAUACUUCCUUCGUCCUCUACAUUUAUGCAUACUUUCUGACACGUAUUUUAAUAAAAAAAUAUUUAGAGUAUUGAUAGUGGAGAAAAUAUCAUAUUUAUGGCUCGUUUGGUACUGAUAUAAUCUUAAUACAUCAUACCAAACAAUAUACUCUUUCCGUCCUCAUAAAAUGUAUCCAAUUUGUCAUUUUCGUCUGUCCUCAUAAAAUGUAUCCAGUCUAUUUUUGGUAAGUUUUGCACUCACAAUAACCUCAUAAAAUGUAUCCAGUCUAUUUUUGGUAAGUUUUCCACUCACAAUAAAGUGAGACCCUUACUCCACUCACAAGUCACAACACAUUCAACUAUUUUAUUAAAACCCGUGCCAUUUAUAAAUGAAUAGUUUUUAUAAGGACGAAGGGAGUAUUAUAUUUUACAGAUAUUUUAAUGUUUUCUACCAAACAUGAUAUUAAUAUGACAUAUAGUAAAAGACAUCUCAGUUAAAUAUAUCUCACUUUAUCCCAUACCGCGUACCAAACGAGCCCUAAAGAUAAUUGUUAAAUAGAUUAUAGGUAAAUAAAUGUAAGUUAUAAAGGUAAAAUUAUUUAAUUAUGCGUAGGGUAGUGUCCAAAAAUAGGGUGUACAUAAAUUUUGGGAAUGUACUAAAAAGAAUGCAUGCAUAAAUAUGAGAGAUGAUGGAGCAUGCAACAAUUAUUUUACAAAUAUUAUUAAACUCUAAUUUAUUAUUUUUAUCAUAUACAUUUUCAAGUUCAUCUCUCUUUGAUUUUCUCUUUUUAAAUUUUUUUUUUCUCUCUGACAAAAAACUUUUUCUCUAGCUUAUAAGCUCAAUUAUUCAAAUACUUUGAUAACUUAUACAUUUUUACAAAAUUACAUCUUAUAAACUCUUAAAACAACUUAUAAAUUCUUAAAAAAUUACAUUUUAAAAACUCUUGAAACAUCUUAUAAAUUAUUACAACUUAUAAGUUCUUUAAAAUAAGUUUAGCAAAACACCUGCUUAAGCCCACUAUUAUAGAUCCAUUGAUAUGGCCAUAUGGGUGGUAUGUCUAGUUGGUGAAGGUACUAAUGCAUGUAAGUUCAAUAUAAUCAUCAUGAUUGCUUAGAAAAUUGAGAAAACCCAAACUAGUGUGGGCAAGAGAAACUCAAGAAUCACAUAAUUUCUAAACCCAUUGGAUCAAAUCAACAGCUGCAUUUGUGAGGCAAAUAGGACCCUCAAAUCACAUCAUGGUCUCCUGAAUCAACUUAGACACUAAGCAAAUGCCAAUCAUACCUGUGAUAGAAUGCAGAGCAAAGACUGCACAUGGUUACGCAUGAUUGAAUCACCAACAAAUGCUAGUGAUUUAUCCUUCAUCAUCUCAAGAAAUCUCUUGGCAUCAAGCUUAGGCAAAAUGCAGUCUUUGGGCUUCCAUCUCCAGUAAAGGUACCCCAAAUCUGGCCUCCCAUUUCUCAUACAAUUCUGUGGAGCUUCUAUUGUUCUGCAACUGCUGUUGCUGUAGAAUGGGCCAUCAGAAUCUGGGAUCCAAUCCCCAUUGAAUAAAUCACAGCCUUCUGUAACAUGUCACUACAGUGUCACAUAAACUGCAAGAUUCAAUUUUUAGGUAUAUGGUGGUGUGUUUUCACAUCAUCAACUGACAUAUUCAAGAAACCCUUUUGGCCCUUUAUUUGGAAAUUCAGAAAGUUUCAAUCUUUAUUGUUUUUAAGAUUGAGAUCACCUUAGAACUAAUGAAUUGAAGAAAAAAAAAAAUUAAGUUUCACUCACCGUUGAGCAAGAGGUCGUCUACGAAUUGGGGUGGCUCAACCGCCGCCGCCGCCGCAGCCUCAUGAUCUGAAACCUCAAGAGGAAACCGCACAAAACUUGAAGAUAAUAACCGGUAAGAAAUGCAUAGAAGCAGAAAACACACUGCAAAUUUCACCAAAGCUGAUGAGAAUAAGUUGUUGCUUUUGAUUUGUUUCAUUCUCUCUCUCUCUCUCUCACACACACACACACACAGAGUUCAGCUUUAAUGCAGAAAUGAAUAAAGAUGAGGGUGGUUGAUAUAGUUAUGCAAAAUGGUGUUAUCAUCUACACAUUCAUUGCAUUUCUUCCUUGAAUUGGCAUGUCGCUAUCUGAAAAAAAAAAAAAGAAUUAAAAACUACUUAUAUUAUUAUAAUUAUGAUUUAGGAAAAAAAUAAAAAUAGUUACUAAAAUAUUAUAAUUAUGAUUUCCCCACUAUAUAAUUCGUUUGGAAGCUUUGCUUACACCUGAAGGUUUGGAUUUUUUUUUUCAUUUUCUUAAACCUUUUUGGUACAAAGAUGUUGCAGGCUUGCAGCAAUGCUUUUAGUUUUAGCAAUAAUUAAAGAAUAUACAAAUAAUCAAGAAUCAAAUUUUAUGUCCUGCUCAUUCUAAAAAAAAAAUUAUGUCGUGUUCGUUAAAUCUUGAAAAUUAGAUCUAAUUAGAGGAUAAUCCGUUAAUAUCUUCACCAAACAAAUAGUAUUCAAUAAACAACAAAUUCUGAAAACCCCUUUGAAGCUCAUCAGAGAAUGACAGACUAUUAUGUUAAAUUUAAAUAUGACAAUAAAUAAUAAAGCUAUUUGCGCGUAAAUACAUCAAUUUUCGACUAAUUUUAAUUAUUAAUCUAGUGGCAUUAAUUGACUGAGGUGUAAUCUACAUGGCAAACAAUUAGAGAUGUAGUAAUAGAUAAUUAUUGGCAUACAAAUAUAUCAAUUUUGAUUUUUAACGUCAAAAAGGGUAAAAAAAAAUAUAUAUAUAUAAAUUUAAUUACUGAUAAAGUAAUUUUUGUUUAUAAACUUAAUAUUUUGAACUUGUAACUUUUUGUUGUUUAAUACUCAUCUUAGAUUUUUAAACAGCUAGGUUUGUAGUAUUAGUCAUUUGGAAAAAGAUUGUGUUGAUAUACCAUUUGUUAUUGACGAGUGGGAUCGAUUACCUUUUUAAUUUUCUUUUUCUCCUUUUUUUUAUUAUUUCUUAUUUUUUUUCGAAUCUCUUUUAAAGUAUAAAUAGGGAAACAUUGACUGAGAUUCAAAGCUCAGCAUCACAACAGCUGGAAAUAAUCACUGCUUUAAAUUAAAGAAUUUAAUUGAAUUAAAUUAAAGUUUGGAAAUCGACCACACAUUCUCUUCUCUUUCUUUUCUUUUCUCUCAUUUUUAUUUUGGAGGUUGUCUCGUAAGCUUUCAAUUAGCUUUUUCAAUGCAAAGUAUCAGCGUCAUCUUCCAUUCCUACAACAAAAUUGUAGUUUUAUUAAUGGUUAAAGUAUCAAAUAAGUCCCUAUUAUAGUGAUCAUUAUCACAUUUGGCUCUCUAUAGUUAAGUUGAUUCAAUUAAACCCUCAUACUAUCUAAAAUCAAAUAAUUGGGCCCUCUGCCCAAACGGCGACUUAACAGCCGUUAUCUAUUUUAAUUUUUUUUUAAGUUUAACACAGUUAAUUUUUCGUCGAAAACACACCGUAGGUUUUGACUGGAUGAAGCCAAAGCAACCCGCCUGAGUUUUGACCGUAAAAUUGGCCGGAAACACACUAGAUGCAACCAAAGCAAUCACCGCCUAGGGUUUCGCGCCGCCACUGAGCGUCACCGCUACCUGCACAGCCUCCGUCCGCUUGUCGCUGACUACCUUCUGAAUUCGCUACCGGACAAAUACGCAACGAGAAGGAGGCGCGAUUAAAAUCGCGGGCAUCUCCCCGUCUAAAAAAUGACAAGCCCACGUCUGAAAUCACGCUGCCCACGCUGCGAUUCAGAACUUCGCGCCGCCUCACAGCAACCCCAGCAACGACAACUCCGUUGGAAAUCGUUCACGGCGGUUGGGCUGGCAAGAUUUGCCGGAGCAAAACCCAGCCCCCAAUCGCCGUCGACUCCCAGACGAACGCCAAGAAGCCACAAAACCUGCUAGGGAUUGGACAAGGUGGGGGAGGUGAGAGAGGGGGUUGCGGCGUCGAUGAGAGAAGCGGAGGUGGGGAAAGAAGAGCAGAGGAAGAGGGAGAAGACGUAGUGCAGGAGAGAGGAAGAGGGAAAAGAAAUGGAGGGGUGGAGGUUGUGGAAGAUUUUCCGCCGAGUUUCCAGACCACCAAUGAAAUUAAAAGAAAAAAAAAUUGAAAAUAGUUAACUGCUGUUAAGUCGCUGUUAGGGCAGAUGGUCCAAUUGUUCGAUUUUAGGUAGUAUGAGAGUUUAAUUGGACCAACUUCGACUAUAGGGAGCCAAACGUGAUAAGGGUUACUAUGAUAGGGGCUUAUUUGAUACUUAACCCUUUAUUAAUUAAUAAAAAUCAUAACUUUUUUCUUAAACUAUAUCAAUAUUUUUUUUGCAUUGUUCCAAUUAAAUUGAUCAAUUUCACUUUAUUACUAAACACAUUUAAAACACUAAUUUUUUAAAUUUUGUGCCGAAAAGAAAAUUGAUCAACUUAAUUGAGAUAGAGAGAGUAUUUAGGAGUGAGUAAAAUAUUUAAAAUUGAAUAAUCAAAUCGAUUCAAACCAAAAUAUUAAAAUAUGAUUCAAUUUUUUUGAUUUAAUUCUAUUUUAUAUUUGAAAAAAUAAAUUUUCAUUUCUAUUCGAUUUAACUUUUUUAAAAUUAAACAAAAUCAAAAUUUGAAUUAUAUUUAUCUAAUAAUAUAAUAAUAUAAUAUUUGUAUACAUCUAUAUAUAUGAUUGAGUUAAUAUACUCCCUCCGUCCCGGCCAAGACGCUACAUUUACUUUUCGGCAUGGGAUUUAAGGAGUUGUAGAUUAAUGUUUUAAGUGUGUAAUAAUAAAGUGAUAAAGUAAGAGAGAGAAAGUAAUAAAGUAAGAAAGAGAAGGUAAUAAAGUGAUAAAGUAUGAGAGAGAAAGUAAUAAAGAAAUACUUAAUUAGUGUCAAUUAAGUGUUUAAAAUUCUUUAUUUUUGCCAAAUAUAGAAAUGUAGCAUCUUCGCUGGGACGGCCCGAAAAGGAAUAUGUAGCAUUUUGAGCGGGACGGAGAGAGUAUAAAUCAAAGUCAUUAUGAAAAAUAAGAACCAAAUUUCGUAAAUGCUUUUUACAACAAUUGUAUUUGUAUUUUUACAUUUCUCGUCUUCUUAUAUUAUAUAAAUUCCUAUAUUAUACUCCAUAAAAACUAAGUUAUUGAAAUUGUAUAUAUAUAAUACAAUAUGAUAAUGAUUAAAAACACAAUUUAAUUUGUUUUUUUUUUCCAUUUUUGGCUUGGUUUAAAUUUUAAGUUUUUUUUAUUAAUUCGAUUUAUUUGGUUUCGAUUUGAUUUUUUUAAACCCUUGAUUUGAUUUUAGCAAAAAAUCUUACCAAAAAUCAAAUAUACAGUCUACUUAUAAUAUUUUAAAAUUUAUUCAAAUUUAAUAUUUACAAAAAGAAAUUUAAUCAUUUAACCUAUUAAUUUUCGUGGGUAUUUUUUUAUUCAAUUUGAUAAGUUUCUUUCUUCGUUCUAUACAAAAUUUUAUGAUUUCGUGAAGAGAGAGAAUAUUUUUUCUAUUUUAUAUUUUUGGAUGUCAUAACUCAUAAGUAUAUUUUUGACUUGUGAUAAUCCAUACAUUGUUUCAUUUCCCAAUGCUUUUAAGGCCACUGCUGAGAUUUGAGAUGGGCCCAUUAACUUUUCUUUACUGAUUUUAUGUUUUGGGCAUUAUUUAUCCUUUGUUGGAUAGCAAUAAUAUUCUUUCAUUUUAACUUGGGGAAUUGGGGGUAUGAAACUUAGAUCUAGUAAUUAAUUUAGAAUUGUUGAGAUGGGCUGAACUGAUUGAUGUAUAAAGCUUCAAGGUUUAUAAUAAAAAAAUUAAGCAAUUCGUAUAAUUCAAUUUUUAAGUUCAAGUUGAGUUUUAAUGGACUUAAUAUUAGGCUAUGAUAGUGGUGUCUAUGUCAUGGUGGGAGAGAUUAUGACUGUUAUUCAAGGCAUUUUAGUGAAUUCAGAACAUAGCAUUGCAGCUGUGGAGAUCUUCACUGAUUCUAUUCUUGUUGCUCGUUUGAUGGCCAACAAGGAAGAAGAAGAAGCACACCUGCUUCCUGAUGAUAUUUCGCGUUACUACUAGAGAGAACUUCUUGGUUGGAGUUUCUCAUGUUUUUAGAACAGCGAAUAAUCGCGCAGUAUUUAGCUCAAUUUUCUUGUUCUUGUGAUAGAUCUAUUUAUUGGACGAUAGAUUUUCCUUCUUGGCCGAGGGAUAUUGUUUUAAAGGAUAUCUCAUGAAUAAUAUUGCUUGGAUUCCCUCUCAAAAAAGCCUCAAUCACUUGCUAUAAUAAAUAGUUAUCCAUGUUCAUUGAUUCAAAAACAACUAUAUUAAAAGCGCAUAAAGAGCCAUCUCUAUACGAUUUUUUAGAAAAUUGCUCCAUCUUCUACAAAAAUAAACUAUUUUUAUUAUUUCAACUAGAUAUAGUUCAUAUAUUAUAAACAAUUAACCCUUACAUUUACGAUUGACAUAAACAUCAGAAAGUUUUAAGUGUUGUUUUUUACGGUGAAGUUAAGGGCCCACUACUGUUUGUUGCUAGAAAAGAGGGGUAAAGUAAAUCAAAUGGUGAUUAAUAUCAACUGAUAUUGCACUUUGUGCAUUGUUUGCUUCACAAGUAAGUUUAAUAAAUGGACAUAGAGAUUUGAUUCUCGUUGGCACAAUCCUCAAAAGAAAUUAAAAGUAUUUGCAACAGUAUUCUAAUUAUGUUUAUUGUUUAUUAGGGAAAUCAAUGAGAAGUGAAUUUAUGAUUGAGAGAGCUCGAAUCUCACCAAUAUUAUUACCCUUAAUUUGAGAAAAAUUAAAUUAAACGGAGAAAAAAAAAAUCUCUUUUCGACUCCACUCUCUCAUCACUGUUUGUUUUGUUCCUUAAAAUAUAUGGCCACCUCCCAGCAGAAAUCCCAAAAUUAUGCUCCUAUAUUUCUCUCCCUAUUUAAUUUUAGGAUCUCGAUUUUAUAAAUGCAUACAGCAGAGCUCCUAUUUUCUACAUAAAAACAAUAAUUAUGUGUGGGCCCUACUAAUUAUAAGCUUAAAAUAAAUUUAGGGUGGGUGUAAAUUUAAGAUUGAAUUUAGGUAGGUGUAAAAUUUUUUGUGGGCCCCAUUCAAUUUAGGGGAUCUGCUGGAUGCAUGUUUUAUCUCAUUUUCAAUUGUUUUAGCCUAAAUUUAGAGUUAGUGAUGCAUUUAAGUGAUCUGCUUUAUUUUAGUUUUUGCUAAAUUUUUCACCAAACUAGUGGCAUACCAAAGAGAAUAUAGUUUACAUAGAGAAAGAAGAGAGUAGCACACAAUUUUCCUGCUAUUUUUCAUAUUAUUGGAGUAAUACUCAAUAAUUCCCAACCAGUAAAAAUAAACAUAAAAAAUCAAUCACUUUCAUACAAUUUCUUGUUCCUUUAUCAAAACAAUUCUUAUGCCCUGAAUCAAUUUCCAAAAAAAAAAAAAAACAAUGAAAUUAAUCUUUUACAUGUACAAAAUCAAAAUGAGAAGGCAAAAGGGAAGGGGAUUUCACAAGAUCAAAAAACUUUCUGCAAAACUGCCAAAAUACACAUAUUUCUUACAUUUGAACCAAUCACUCAAACAUGAAACAUGAAACAACAAGAGCAGCACCACUAUGCAUAGCAUCAAUCAUUCUUCUUAAUCUUAACCUUUUUUGCAAUGGACAAAAAAAGACAACGGUAGGUAUAGUACCAGACGUGAUCGAGCAUUUGAGUCGAAAAAUGAUCAUGCCGCGGCUUGUGGAAUUUUCAUGCCAAAUCCGCGCUUCACCCUCUCCAUGCUGUCCAAGAUAUCGCGUUAGUUAAGAUAGAAUGCACCUCAACAAUAUGAGCAUCAACAAAUUGAGUGACAUUUAGAGGGUUUUUGGUUGAAAAAAAAAAUGUGACAAAAUUGAAAUGAGACUGUUUCUAAGAUGUCUAAAACAUAUUGAAGGACCAUUAAGUGAUAUAAUAAACGCGAGGAGAAGAUUGAAUAUACUCACGUUGGAGCAAGUUUUCCGAGGCUUUCCAACUCCUCGCCAGUGUCCUCGUCUAGGACUCUGCCGGAGAUCUCGACAAUGUAUGAUCUGUCUCUUUCCCUCGGGAGACCUCUGCCUACGAGCAGAUUCAGAUCUUUGUGGUUCAGCUCUCUACCAUUAACAAAUAUGUGUGUGUUUCCACCUGCACAAUGCUCUGGCAUAGGGUAGUUGAACUCCUCUAUAAACGGCUGCAACAACACAACACACAAGUUGGUUAAACGAGCGAGAAUUAGGUGCCUUUCCCACAAAAAGAAAUGGUGAAAAGAUCUUACAGGAAUUAUGCCAAGACAAGGCCCUCCAAUAGCACCCCAGAAUCCAGCUCUAAAAUCAUACCUAGUGAACGAAGAUCAUCGUAAAAACUUCAAUGCAAUAUAAUAUGUAGAAAAUUUACCACAGAAUCAUCAUAUCAAGUAUAUGAAAGAGAAUGCAUACCAAUAAUGGCCGGGUUGGAUCGGUCCAGCUAUUUUUUCAGCUUUCUUGAUCAACCGGUCGGAUAUUAGAUGGCCGUUGACAGUCACAUUAGCAGCAGCAGCUUCUUCGGAUCUGUGUGAAUCCUUGAAGCUCCCCAUAAUGCCAGCAAAGAACGAGCCAGCUCCUCUACCGCCUCUGCUAGCUUCACUCGACUCAAAGGUGGACCCCGUGUUGGAGAACUCGUUGGACGAUAUAUCUAUCUCGGUAGCUGUGGACUCUUUCCUCAAAAUCUGCUUAGCUACUGUCUUGCUUGGCAACGGUCUGUCAGUAAUAUCAGAGCGCCCGCUUCUGUUUCCUUCGCCAGAAUCCUUCACCACACGAAACUUAUUCGAAUGCUCGAAGUAAUCUUGAAGAGACGAGCCGGUAGGAGGCUGAACCCCUUUAUCCUCUCUCGAAACGUCAGCAGCUGAGGUGGGAUCUUUGGUUUCUUCUUCGGCUUCAGAGGCAUACGCGGAUGUGGACUGACGGAUUCUUGUCUCGAUAGGCUUGCUAUCUCUUCCUGGACGAGCCAUUUGCGCCACUUCCUUGUCCAUGGAGUGGAAAUCAUAACCAGAACUAUCAUAAUCCUCGGAUGAAAAGGUUGUCCUAGCUUGGCUCGGAUGAGCCUCGCCUUGCCUUGAUGGCAUAUCACGCUCGUUGUCAACUUUUAUAGGGGCGCUCUUAGCCUCCACGUCGAGUGAAACGACCAAUUUCUUGCCUAAAACUACGAAAGCAAUGAGAGACGAGCACGCCCCACACCUGAGCUUCUUCCUGCUGCCAUUCUUGCUCACAACUUUCUUAGGCAGCAUCAGCAGCUCGAAACAACUGUUGCAGGUCAAGAACGGAGCACCACCGGCUACAGGGCUGCAGUGUUUUCCACCGCCAACCAAAUGGGCUCUAGCAGGCCGACGACGUACGAAACCAUCCACCUCGGAAUUCACAUCACUGGGCCAUCUCGCAUGACUUUGGGAAGUACGAGGCCUCAACGGAGGCUGAUCAUGAACUCUACGGUUGUAACCACCAAACGAGCCGUGACUCUCCUGGUAAUUCGAAACCAUAUCAUCCGAGACAUUCGAGUACUUACCACUAUACGCAGCUUGCAUCAUCGGGUUAGAAACUUGUCUCUUGGCACGACAAUGGUAGCACGAGCAAGACGGAUGAUGCCGGCCAAAAUUAGGAGCAUCCAUAUAACCACCCAUUCCAUCAUCCACGUAAGGUCCGGACACAUAUCCCCGAGCAGGGGGCAUCUGAAACGCGCCUUGAGCUUCAGACGGGCGCAAGUGAGGAUUCCCAUACCCUUGAACAUGACUUGGACCAUACCUUGGAGGAUAAAAACCAUUCUCCCCCAUUUCUUGCCUACGCAUCAUAUGAGGUGGCUCGGUGUACUGACUCUGAAAAGGCGGCCUUUUCAACGAGCUCUGCAUCAUCAUCGCCUCAUUCUCAGACGCGUAAGGAUCUUGAGGAUGCAUCCUCCUAUCGAGGGGAGCCUUAUCCUUACCCUUGUCAUCCAAAUUGCCCGAACGGCUCAGCUUAUACUUGAGCUCGUCUAACUGCCUCAAAAGCUCGGCCCGAUCAUCCCCAACUCCCAAUCCCCUAGAUGGAUCAUCCGAAUCAUAACUAGACGCAACCCGGCCCCCCGGCCUCCUCAAUCCACCCUCAUUGUCAUGAAACAUCACCAAAUCCUCAGCCAUUUUGGGGCGUUGGAUUUGAUUCAACCUUGUAUCCUCCACACCCAAUUCUCCUCCUCAACUAAACCAUUCCUACCAAUUCUCCUCCGACUCGAAGAACUAACGUUGGACCUCACAUCAGAUUCGGAGCCAUCACUCAUCUCCAUCACUCUCCUCUCAGAAACAUUCAUCAUUGUCUCAUAUCUAUCGGAAAGCUUGUCUAGAUUACUACCGAUCCUGCCCUCAUCAGACUUCUCAGAGAAUGUGUCCAAGUCAACACCCUUGUUCUUGGCUGAUUAAAGUCAACCACACAACGAGAUUAAUCAAUAUGAAAAUCAACCUAAAAUUUCUCCACCCAUUAGCUACAAUCUACUUAUUGAAAAUUUUCUAACUCAAGCAUGUAUAUUAAACAAAUUAAUCCCAAUGAGCAUUUCAUAAAACACAAAUCUUGCCCCACAAAACAUGCUAUAAACAAGAGAGAGAGAGAGAGUUACAUCUUAAGACAGCACCACAACCGCCACAUUGAUAAACGGAGAAAUCGGUGACCUCCGGCAGCAAAUUCUCACACUUGGGACAACGAACUAAACGAACGUUAGCAGUUUCAGACAUUUCUCUCUCUCUCUCUCUCUAGAACAAUCCCUCGAGCAUGCAAAAUGCGGGAAACGAACAAUUUCUGGUCAUGGAGUAAAUCUUGGAGAGAAAUGGGAGAAUUUUGUGGUGGGAUUUCUCACAGCUCGAAAAGCAGCAGACAUGCGUUGGUGAAAGAUGCAAACUUGAAAGAGAAAUGAGGGAAGAAUUGCAGCAAAUAAUUCAGUGAGUGAAUCAAGGAUAGUGUUAAACACGGAAAGCAGAGAAAUUCCUUUCUCUUUUCUGAGAUUCUGAGGAAAAAUCUAAGGUUUCUGCAACAUCAUGAGUGGAAAGCGAGCAUCAACUGAUUGUGCUUUGGUUUUCUUUUGGCUCGAUAUGUUUGUACGGUUUUGAUUUUUCAAGAGAGAGAGAGAAACUACUGUGAAUUUUACUCUUCCCCAAACGUGAGAGGUAAAAACAAAGACUGAAGACCGAAUAAAGAAUUUUUGAAGCCUCCAAUGAAAUUACUUAAGAUUUUAAAGAAUAAAAUAUUCCAUAAAAUUAAGCUUACAGCGUUUCUAUUUGACUCUUCUUGUUUGGACAGAAAUCAAGAAGGGUAAUUCAUAUCAAAAUUUGCCGAGAAAAAAGAAACACGAAAAUCGGAAUUUGAAAAAAUGUAACGAAAUUAUUUGAAAGAAUUAAGGGAGAAUCUCUCUCUCUCUCUAAGACUUUGUAGAGAGAGAGGAUGACGAUGAAAGAAAAAGAGUGAUUUGGGCUUUGUACAAAGGAGUGAUGCUUGUAACUUUUGUGAGUUGUAAUGCAGCGUGAAAUUGUCAAUACUCUGACAAUUUUUGCAUCUAUAGUUUGCCGACUUUGACUAUCUCUUUCUCUCUCUACAUAAAUACGUAUAGAGAGAGAAAGAGAGGAAGUAUUUCCAUCACACACCUACUGCUCUGCAAACUUUUUUUUCUUAUUAUUAUUCAACUUUGUCGGACAUUCUAUAAUUAUUUUGGUGGAAUGUUAGUUGCUACAUGAUUUUUUAUUCUUAUUAUUACUCCCUCCGUCCAUGAAAAAGAGUCCCAUUUGGGACUCGGCACGAGUUUUAAGAAAGUUGUUAAAGUAGGUGUAAGUGGAGAGAGAAAUAAAUUUAU
rnacentral:lncRNA from 1 species